rnacentral:rRNA from 1 species
CCCUUAGAUGUUCUGGGCCGCACGCGCGCUACACUGAAGGGCUCAGCGUGUCUUCCCUUCCCGAGAGGGCCGGGUAACCCGCUGAACCCCCUUCGUGGUAGGGAUCGGGGCUUGCAAUUGUUCCCCGUGAACCAGGAAUGCCCAGUAAGCGCAAGUCAUAAGCUUGCGUUGAUUACGUCCCUGCCCUUUGUACACACCGCCCGUCGCUACUACCGAUUGAGUGAUCCGGUGAAUAAUUCGGACUGCAGCAGUGUUCAGUUCCUGAACGUUGCAGCGGAAAGUUUAGUGAACCUUAUCACUUAGAGGAAGGAGAAGUCGUAACA